UACGUAGGUGGCGAACGUUAUCCGGAGUAACUGGGUGUAAAGGGUCCGUAGGCGGACCUUCAAGUCUGACGUGAAAGCGCCCGGCUCAACUGGGCGAGUGCGUUGGAAACUGGAGGCCUUGACUCACGCAGAGGUCGGCGGAAUUCCCGGUGUAGUGGUGGAAUGCGUAGAGAUCGGGAGGAACCUCGAAAGCGAAGGCAGCCGACUGGGCGCUGAGUGACGCUGAGGGACGAAAGCGUGGGGAGCGAACAGGAUUAGAUACCCCAGUAGUCC
rnacentral:rRNA from 1 species